rnacentral:lncRNA from 1 species
CCCAGCAAAAGCUAUUUAUGGUGCUGUGGCUCCAGGACAGACUACCUCAUGGAGCCACAGCCUAUUCUGCUGCUUUAAGGACUUCACCUUCCUAAGCAGCAGAAGGUACACUGCCCUGGACUUUGCUGCUGGCACAAUUAAUGUCAGUCCUGGAGUCCCACCACUGUAAUAGUGUGAGCUACAGGAUGUGCAUUUUCCAUGCCCUGAGUUGACCUUGGGUGUGCAAAACUUUGGUGAAGCUUUACUGUGUAGACAAGGCCUUAGGCAGGUAGAAUUUGCCAAAUGUAGUGUUUAAUGAGACAGCCAAGUGAGUGUAACACACAGCAAGUUCAGUAAAGCCCCUGAGGCCUGGGGUCCGAGGAAUGUGCUGUGAUGUAACAAAAUGAGUGAGUGAUCCCUUUCAUCCACCUCCCUGGUUAGGCUGAACCUGGCUCCUCAGGGAUACAGGGAGAGGCCCAGAGCACAGGGAAACCAACAGCCUUGCCUGGCUCCUGAAGGGUCUGGGGGGGCCUCACUGUGCUGACCAGGAUCUGUCCUCCUGUCCUGGUGCUCCCAGCACAGUGGUGUCCUCAGGACGCUGGGAAAAAACUGCUCACCAGUCUUGUGGUUUGUGGAUGAGGAUCAGAACCCAUUGCUCUGUCCAUGGGAGGGAAGGCACUGAUCACUGGAAUUUGGAAAUGUAUUGAGAGGACCCUGAAACAAACAGAAGUGUAGCCCAGAAGCAAGCCCUGGAGGAUGGAAGCACAGCCCUGCAAAGGCUGAGGUAUAGCUGAGGCAGGGAGGGGGAGGAGGAACAUUGAAGUGCUGCCUGUUUGGCUCCCCCUGCUCCCAUUUCUGCUCUGGGAACACAACCU